GUGCACUCUAGACAGACUGCCGUGGACAACACGGAGGAAGGUGGGGGAGUGACGUCAAAUCAUCAUGCCCCUUAUGAUCUGGGCUACACACGUGCUACAAUGGCCGGUACAACGGGCAGCGAAGGAGCGAUCCGGAGCGAAUCCUAAAAGCCGGUCCCAGUUCGGAUUGCAGGCUGAAACUCGCCUACAUGAAGUUGGAGUUGCUGGUAAUCGCGAAUCAGAAUGUCGCGGUGAAUGUGUUCCCGGGUCUU
rnacentral:rRNA from 1 species